UCACGCCAAAACGCAUAAUACAUUAUGUUAGUUGGAAGUUAUUUGGUGAAUCUCUAUGUGUAUAUAAGAAAUGUUUGUCUUAUGGAAAGAGACGAAAAGAAAAUUGCAGUAAGAGUAUUCUUAAGUCUUUGGGACCUGACACUCCGACUAAUCUGUGACUGUCUCGUGUAGCUGAUUUCAACGCGAGUCCUAGCAAAAAGGUUUCCAUUAACCAAAACCUAUUCAAAAGGUAUCCUCUUUCUUCUUAGCUACUUCUGGAGUGAUGACUUUCAAUGUGUUUGCAGGUUUUUCUAAUAUCAAUUGCAGCCUGAAUCGUGUGGUUAUAUUUAAUCCAAAUUGAAAUUUGUCUCAUCACUUGCAAGCCAAGAUAGGCCAUUUUGGUAUGGGCAGAAACAUCAUGUGGUGGUAUUUCGUUUGUUGGCUGAUGGUUCCCUUGAUGAACUAUUUUAUACAAAACAAGUACGCAAACAACAAUUUCAGAACAUUUCAGCUGAAAGGAAGAUGGAUACGAGGUACUUUGAAUGUGGCCAGGUAACAUAAAAAUAUACUAUUUAAAUUGGGUUAGUUUCACUGAAGAUGCUCUCCCUUCAAAUAUUCUGGUUCGUCUUAUGAUCAGGAUUGAAAAGAGAUUCAAGGCGAGUAAUUUGAAAUUUCAAAUCUUAUCUCUUUGAUAAGCUCUUCACUAGCGAGAUUAUAGAAUUGUGUAAGGAUAGUAGCAUUCAUGAGGAUUAGAUUUGAGAUAUGUGUUUCAGAUGAUGAUGAAGAAUUUGUGUGCUCAUGUGAAAUGGAAACAAAUGAACGUAUCCUUGGAGACUUGUCUAAGAAUAAGUCUGAUCUGUACGUUUCUCUGCUUGAAUAUAUUUCAUGGUUUAGUCUUAUAAAUCCUUGCUCAGGCUUAUGUGACUAUGAUGAGGCAAUGAAGAUAUCAUCAACGGUGGAAGGACAUAAACAACAACAUCUCAGAGUAUCAAUGGAGAGAGUAACAUCAAUGAGAACUUACAGUGUGCGGAUCAAAAGAAAAACAAGAACGUAAAAGGUCGUAGUGAAGAGGAGGGUAUGUCUUUUUCCAAACAGGGAACAAAAAAGAGAAAAGUAAGCCGAGUUUAAAGGCAUGGAGAUAUUCGAGUUUUGUAGAUGGGUAUUGCAGCUUCUCCAUAUGACAGAGAAGCUACUUCAAGAAUUUUCUGAUAAGAGUCGAGUGAAAGGUUUGGAUGUUGAUGCCCUUUACAUUUACACGUCCAAGUGUACCAAGCAGCAAAACAGAGACGGAGGACAUAUCAUUCUCAUGGAAAUCAAUCGUAUGUUCUUCUUUAUGCCACAUUGAGUUGAUUUUGUCUAGAAAACGAAGAGCUUGUGGAGAAAGAGCCUGAGAGUCAUUUGGCAGCCAAGUCAAAGAAAGGAACUUUUUCUUGAGCAUGUAGACAGUAAUUUUCGUGGUCAUUUGUGUUACAAAGGCUUUACACAGGUGAUUCAUCUGGGGGAAGAUGUAAAUCGAUGUUCGUUUUGUGCAUUAUAAUGCUACAUCCACAUGGAUCACCCAGCUGAAUUUUUAAAAACUCAUCUCAGAUUCUCACUCAAAUGAAGGUGAAUCUUGAUGGUGCAUCUGGAUGCAGAUGCAUCUAAUUCAGUCCUAAAUGAUAAAUGACAAAAAUGACGUUUUAAAAUCAAAAUAUUA